rnacentral:rRNA from 1 species
AAACUCAAAUGAAUUGACGGGACCCGCACAAGCAGCGGAGCGUGUGGUUUAAUUCGUUGCUACACGAAGAACCUUACCUGGGUUUGACAUAUAGGUUGUAGGGAACUGAAAAGGACCGACCUUCGGGAGCCUAUACAGGUGUUGCAUGGCUGUCGUCAGCUCGUGUCGUGAGAUGUUCGGUUAAGUCCGCUAACGAGCGCAACCCUCGUCGUAUGUUAUAUGUGUCAUACGAGACUGCCGGUAAAAGCCGGAGGAAGGUGAGGAUGAUGUCAAGUCAGCAUGACCUUUAUAUCCAGGGCUACACACACGCUACAAUGGUCUGUACAAUGGGUAGCCAAGCCGCGAGGCGGAGCCAAUCCUGAAAGCAGGCCUCAGUUCAGAUUGCAGUCUGCAACUCGACUGCAUGAAGCCGGAGUUGCUAGUAACCGCAGGUCAGCAAUACUGCGGUGAAUACGUUCCCGGGUCUU